GUUAAUGUAGCUUAAUAAUAAAGCAAAGCACUGAAAAUGCUUAGAUGGAUUUACUCAAUCCCAUAAACA
rnacentral:tRNA from 1 species